ensembl:lncRNA
CUCUCAUGGAUACUCACUCUAAGGGUAGUUUGUGGCCUUAUUGUGAGCACGUUUAAUAGCCUGACAGGCUUAUGUUUGGAGAAAGUAAGGCCUCCAACAACACGGGCAUCAACCUGCUCACCGUGUGAGCAGAGCAUCUUGGAAGCUGGCCUCCCAGGGGACAAGCAAGUCAAGUUGACGUCAUGACAGUAACCUCAUGAUACACCCCAGGCAGAAACUACAUGGAUAAGACACACUUGAAUUCCCAAAAAACAGCAUGUCACAUCUGGACAAUGACUGACAUCAAGGAAGGAGAAGACAGAAAACCCAGAUAGCAGGCCCUGCCCUGAGCCCCACUCCAGGUUGCAAUGCUUGCUCCUAAUGAUGACAGUGGAUUGAAAUGAAAACAUCAAGUCAUGACCCUUGCUUCAAAAAACAAUCUCAUUGCCUUGAGUCAUGAUGGGCAGAGAAAAUACCCUGGACAGCUUGGGAUCUUCAUACGUGGAGAGAGAACUGAGAACAACUUCUGUAAAUAUAAUAUUAUAAAGUUAUUAAGGUUCCCUCAUCUCGGGCUUGAAUUAUCUCUGAGUGGUAUAGAUCUGGGGAUCCCCAGGUGGUGCAGUGGUAAAAGAAUCUGCUUGCCAAUGCAAGUGAUGCAGGAGAGACCCCAACUGGAAAUCAGCCAGCAAGGGAAUCUGGGAAAUAUAAUUUGAGACUCAAAACUGACAGUAUUACAAAUAAAAGUACAGAAGGGUGUACAUGGAAAUGAGAGAGAAUGGAAGACGGCAAACAUACUAGUCAAUUCAUUGAAUGCUUGGCAAAACUGUGAAUAAAUGGAAGAACCAAAGUUCAAACCAGAGUCUAACACCAGAAUCCUUGAUUGUGCAGCUGAAGUGUGGAUGUGAGGGUUGAGCCCUUUUGGACUGAGUGGAGAAGGGGAGCAUCCUAGGAGUAGCAGAUAAAUAAUCUGGAAGAAGUCUAGAUUCCCAAGAUUGAUAAACUGCCAUGCCAGCCCUGGAGAGCCUACUGUAAGUGAUAAAUGAGAGGAAGGAUUCCAUCUGAGAAGCACAGGGGAGCCAUUGCUCUCAGGUACCCAGAGCACUGAAUGGAGAUCCUGGCAUUUGUUCUACCUGAAGCAGAAAUGUAAGCCUGCCUUAUCCACACAUUUGCGUAAUUGUUACCAGGAGUAUCUUUUGGGAAGACCUUUUAGAGAAUGGGUACAGCAGUGGGAAGAGCAAAUUUUCUCUCCAUAUGUCAAGCAGGGACAUUCAAGAUUUUGGCCAAGCAUGCUCUGAAGGAAUGUGGAGUUCGCUGCAAAUCCAGAAAGCUGCUGUGAGAUCUUACAGUUGGUGUGGAGGAGGUAGUAAAAAACACUAAUAUUUCUGGAAUGGAAGCUUUAGUUGAGUGCAAGAAAGAUAACAUAACUUAGAACAAAUGGCCUUUGAAAUCAAAGCCCUCUUUUGCAGAUGAUCUGACCCGACUUUUUGGUUGGCUCUUUUCAAAAUAAUCCCCACGAAAGGAUGAGUCAUUACACGGGCUCCAAAUUUGCACCAUCCUUCUCUUCCCUGGAAGAGCAAUAAGCAGAGAUCCUAAAACC